GGCUACGUAGCUCAGCUGGUUAGAGCACAGCAUUCAUAAUGCUGGGGUCGGCGGUUCAAGU
rnacentral:tRNA from 1 species